UGCGCAGGCGGGCUUGUAAGUCAGUGGUGAAAUACUGCCGCUUAACGGUAGAACUGCCAUUGAUACUGCGAGUCUUGAAUAUGGUUGAGGUAGGCGGAAUGUGUUGUGUAGCGGUGAAAUGCAUCGAUAUGACACAGAACGCCGAUUGCGAAGGCAGCUUACUAAGCCAUUAUUGACGCUGAGGCACGAAAGCGUGGGGAGCGAACAGGAUUAGAUACCCUGGUAGUCC
rnacentral:rRNA from 1 species